rnacentral:rRNA from 1 species
ACCCAGACUCCUACGGGAGGCAGCAGUGGGGGAUAUUGGACAAUGGGGGGAACCCUGAUCCAGCGACGCCGCGUGAGUGAAGAAGUCUCUCGGUAUGUAAAGCUCUAUCAGCAGGGAAGAAAGAAAUGACGGUACCUGACCAAGAAGCCCCGGCUAACUACGUGCCAGCAGCCGCGGUAAUACGUAGGGGGCAAGCGUUAUCCGGAUUUACUGGGUGUAAAGGGAGCGUAGACGGUUGCGCAAGGCUGGAGUGAAAGGCGGGGGACCAACCCCCGGACUGCUCUGGAAACUGUGUAACUGGAGUGCAGGAGAGGUAAGUGGAAUUCCUAGUGUAGCGGUGAAAUGCGUAGAUAUUAGGAGGAACACCAGUGGCGAAGGCGGCUCUCUGGUCUGUAACUGACGCUGAGGCUCGAAAGCGUGGGUAGCGAACAGGAGUAGAUACCCGAGUA